UACGACUACAUAUCAGGCAUAUCAAUAAGCGGAGGAAAAGAAACUAACUAAGGAUUCCCUCAGUAACGGCGAGUGAAGCGGGAAGAGCUCAAAUUUGAAAUCUUCAAGGUUUUACCUUGACGAAUUGUAGUUUAAAGAAGUGUUUUCUGUUGAAGUUUUCGGUAAAAGUUCUUUGGAAUAGGACAUCAUAGAGGGUGAGAAUCCCGUAUUUGACCAGUUAUCUCAGCUGUGUGAUACACUUUCAAAGAGUCGGAUUGUUUGGGAAUGCAGUCCAAAAUGGGUGGUAAAUUUCAUCUAAAGCUAAAUAUUGGCGAGAGACCGAUAGCGAACAAGUACCGUGAGGGAAAGAUGAAAAGAACUUUGAAAAGAGAGUUAAACAGUACGUGAAAUUGUCAAAAGGGAAGCGUUUGACACCAGUGUUGUUUUCUCGAAAAUCAAUUAAAAAGUAUGGGAUUUUGUAUUGUUAAGACCUUAUCAGCUUACAGGUACUUUUUUCUUAUUCUUUUUAAUGCACUUUUCGUUUAACAAGUCAACAUCAAUUUCUUUUGUUGUAAAAGAGUCAUUGGAAGGUGGCUUUCACUUCGGUGAAAGUGUUUAUAGCCUUUGGCUUCUGCAAUCGGAGAGAUUGAGGUCUGCAGCGUAGAUCCUUCGGGGUUAGAUACGUAGAUGCUAAGUUAUAGUUUUUCAUAGACAACUUGUUGACUAUGAUUAAUCAUGUAGCUUACUCGUUUGCGCUAUUUUACCUACGCUUAGGAUGUUGAAUCUGUGCGAGACUAC
rnacentral:rRNA from 1 species